CCUACGGGUGGCAGCAGUGAGGAAUAUUGGUCAAUGGACGAGAGUCUGAACCAGCCAAGUAGCGUGAAGGAUGACUGCCCUAUGGGUUGUAAACUUCUUUUAUAUGGGAAUAAAAUGUUCCACGUGUGGGAUUUUGUAUGUACCAUAUGAAUAAGGAUCGGCUAACUCCGUGCCAGCAGCCGCGGUCAUACGGAGGAUCCGAGCGUUAUCCGGAUUUAUUGGGUUUAAAGGGAGCGUAGGUGGAUUGUUAAGUCAGUUGUGAAAGUUUGCGGCUCAACCGUAAAAUUGCAGUUGAAACUGGCAGUCUUGAGUACAGUAGAGGUGGGCGGAAUUCGUGGUGUAGCGGUGAAAUGCUUAGAUAUCACGAAGAACUCCGAUUGCGAAGGCAGUUCACUGGACUGCAACUGACACUGAGGCUCGAAAGUGUGGGUAUCAAACAGGAUUAGAUACCCGUGUAGUC
rnacentral:rRNA from 1 species